rnacentral:rRNA from 1 species
UACGGGGGGUGCAAGCGUUGUCCGGAAUCAUUGGGCGUAAAGAGUUCGUAGGUGGUAUGUUAAGUCUGGUGUUAAAGUCAGAAGCUCAACUUCUGUAAGGCACUGGAUACUGGCAAACUAGAAUGCGGUAGAGGUAAAGGGAAUUCCUGGUGUAGCGGUGAAAUGCGUAGAUAUCAGGAGGAACAUCGGAGGCGUAAGCGCUUUACUGGGCCGAAAUUGACACUGAGGAACGAAAGCCGGGGUAGCAAAUG